GGAAUUUUGGACAAUGGGCGAAAGCCUGAUCCAGCCAUUCCGCGUGAGUGAAGAAGGCCUUCGGGUUGUAAAGCUCUUUCGCAAGGGAAGAAAGAUUACUCUCUAACAUAGAGUGAUUAUGACGGUACCUUGAUAAGAAGCACCGGCUAACUACGUGCCAGCAGCCGCGGUAAUACGUAGGGUGCGAGCGUUAAUCGGAAUUACUGGGCGUAAAGCGUGCGCAGGCUGUUUUGUAAGUCAGAUGUGAAAUCCCUGAGCUCAACUUAGGAACUGCGUUUGAAACUACAAGACUAGAAUAUGUCAGAGGGGGGUAGAAUUCCACGUGUAGCAGUGAAAUGCGUAGAGAUGUGGAGGAAUACCAAUGGCGAAGGCAGCCCCCUGGGAUAAUAUUGACGCUCAUGCACGAAAGCGUGGGGAGCAAACAGGAUUAGAUACCCUUG
rnacentral:rRNA from 1 species